CACGUAGGCGGAUUUGUAAGUCAGGGGUGAAAUCCCGGGGCUCAACCUCGGAACUGCCUUUGAUACUGCAAAUCUCGAGUCCGAUAGAGGUGGGUGGAAUUCCUAGUGUAGAGGUGAAAUUCGUAGAUAUUAGGAAGAACACCGGUGGCGAAGGCGGCCCACUGGAUCGGUACUGACGCUGAGGUGCGAAAGCGUGGGGGAGAAACA
rnacentral:rRNA from 1 species